GCGGAAGUAGCUCAGCCCGGUAGAGCUCCACCUUGCCAAGGUGGUUGUCGCGGGUUCAAAUCCCGUCUUCCGCUCCA
rnacentral:tRNA from 1 species